rnacentral:snoRNA from 1 species
GAAUGAGAUGAUGACUUCAAUCAAAUUUGAUAGCCGAUAUGAUGGCAAUUUAUCAUGUAUUAGCUCUAGCUGAUCAUUC